CACAGUGACGUCAGUUCCAAAGCGCUAUUGUGUCAGACUCAUCUCCCGCUGAAGAGGAUCCAGCGACAUCAAGAGAUUACGGAAAAUCACGCGAGAUAACUGGCUUGCACCUUGUUGGGUUUUUUCAAAGGCAGAGGGGAGAUUCCUGGCGUGCAUCUGCUUAAUUUGAAGAAGAACAUCACCUGAUCACCUAUCUGUAAUCCACCUGCUUAAGUUCUGGUCAAGGGGCUCAUCGGCUAUCAAGUUAUAGAUUUCAGUGGCUAAUAGAAGACACUGCUGAGGUCAGAUGAGAGUGCAUCCUCAAAGGUCUGUGUGUACCUAAAUGAAGAUCCAGAGAAGCUGGUGAGGGAGUACAUGGACGUUGAUGAAUGUGCAGAAAUGGCCAAAGCCGAGGCUGUCCUCGGAAUCGUCAUUUGAGCAGAGGGUGCAGAGGCUGCCGAUGCACAUCUGGAUGUUGGGAUUGUCCUGGAGGAGGGAAGUUAUGAACAGCUUGGGCAGUGUAUCUUCUGCAAUAGUGA